UAAACCUAAAGUGUUCUGUCUCUCAUUCUCUUCUUCCUUGUGAGAGUGAAUAGCCGUCAUUGACAUCUUCUUUUCCUCCAUUGAUAUCUUCUUCUAAACACAUAGCCUGUUCUCAGCUCCAACAAUGGUGCCUGGGAUGGUCUAAUGGCUGUCUGACAGACUCUUAUAUCUUUUUUGUUAUGUUUUUACUAGCUGGUUGGCGUUCUAAAGCUGAUUAAGUUCUAAUUGCAUAGCCUUCGAGUUAUGGAACCGUAAGCCGAUUAAGUUCUAAUUGCAUAGCCUUCAGGUUAUGGUACCGUGGAUGAUCGUUCUCAGCUCCAACAAUGGUGUCUGCAAUGGUCCAAUGGCUGUCUGACAGACUCUUAAAUCUUUUUUUGCUAUGUUUUACUGGCUUGUUGGCGUUCAAAAGCCGAGAGUCGACAUUGUGCUGGAAGACUGGCUAGUUCCUGUUCUAUUGAGAAGCUGAAGAAUCUGAUCAUAUUUCUCUCUAGAGAAUGUGCAACCUGUCAUCUGAUUGAGUUGAUUGAAAUUAAGACCAGCUAUAGAUCCUUGGUCCUCAGUAGUUGUAGGAGCUUGAUUUGUAUUCAUAGUCAAAUUCUGCAAAUGACCCCUUGCAUCAUUGUACCCACUGUAUGUCUGUUGCGUUAGAUUGUCUGUAAUGACAUUGUAAGUUGCAUUGUUUCCUGCUCCCCCUUUCUUCCCUGGUCUGUAAUCAGGUGGAUAACCCACUAUUUUGUAGCAAUUUUCUCUGUUGUGACCCUUGAGUUUACAGAAAUCACUGAAUGUUAUAGUUUUUCUUGAA